rnacentral:tRNA from 2 species
GCCCUGAUAUCCCAACAGGCAGAGGAAAACGGCUCAAACCCGUUACAGUGUGGGUUCGAAUCCCACUCAGGGCA